rnacentral:tRNA from 1 species
GGGGCUGGGUCAGUGGUAAAGCGCUUGCCUAGUAUGCAUGAGGCACUGAGUUCAAUCCCCAGCACCA